rnacentral:rRNA from 1 species
ACCAAAUCUUGACAUCCUUUGACAACUCUAGAGAUAGAGCUUUCCCCUUCGGGGGACAAAGUGACAGGUGGUGCAUGGUUGUCGUCAGCUCGUGUCGUGAGAUGUUGGGUUAAGUCCCGCAACGAGCGCAACCCUUAAGCUUAGUUGCCAUCAUUAAGUUGGGCACUCUAAGUUGACUGCCGGUGACAAACCGGAGGAAGGUGGGGAUGACGUCAAAUCAUCAUGCCCCUUAUGAUUUGGGCUACACACGUGCUACAAUGGACAAUACAAAGGGCAGCGAAACCGUGAGGUCAAGCAAAUCCCAUAAAGUUGUUCUCAGUUCGGAUUGUAGUCUGCAACUCGACUACAUGAAGCUGGAAUCGCUAGUAAUCGUAGAUCAGCAUGCUACGGUGAAUACGUUCCCGGGUCUUGUACACACCGCCCGUCACACCACGAGAGUUUGUAACACCCGAAGCCGGUGGAGUAACCUUUUAGGAGCUAGCCGUCGAAGGUGGGACAAAUGAUUGGGGUGAAGUCGUAACAAGGUAGCCGUAUCGGAAGGUGCGGCUGGAUCACCUCCUUU